GACGAACGCUGGCGGCGCGCUUAACACAUGCAAGUCGAGCGAGAACCAGGGCUUCGGCCCUGGGGACAGCGGCGAACGGGUGAGUAACACGUGGGUGACCUGCCCUCAGCUCUGGGAUAAGCCUGGGAAACCGGGUCUAAUACCGGAUAUGACUCCAUGACGCAUGUUGUGGGGUGGAAAGCCUUGUGCGGCUGAGGAUGGGCCCGCGGCCUAUCAGCUUGUUGGUGGGGGAGUGGCCUACCAAGGCGACGACGGGUAGCCGGCCUGAGAGGGCGGACCGGCCACACGUGGGACUGAGAC
rnacentral:rRNA from 1 species